CCGACGUCCAGUCUGAAGCAUCGGGUAUGUUUGGAUCAAUUCCAUCACGAGGGCUGUCAUCUUCCAUUUGAUCAGACGAUCCUCUCGCUGGCGAGACUUGCGGACUUAAUACAGGUGGCAAGACAGUGCCAUUUAGAAUUUGACUUGGAUAAUGUUAUUCGAGGUGUGUGGCAAGCAUGAUGGUACGCAUCGUCACAAAAGAAACAGGUUACCAAAGGACCCUAUCAAGGCAAACAAUGGAUUUCAUCUGAAGUUUCACAACAGACUAUACAACUUUUACAACGUUCACAUUGCCAACUGCUACCUAAUUUUUGUAUCAAUUCUUCUGGAGAAUAUAUACAACUGGGAUGAGCUGGAACACAUUAUUACAAUUAAGUAAAAGAAACAAGAACAGAAGAAUGAAAUGGAGUAACAUGAAGUGAUGGUUGUCGACCACGCUUACGUUUAACAAGAUUAUUAUCCGAAGGGUCGAAUACUUUCUUUGCCCUCUGAAAAAAAAUAAAACAUGUUAUUUUCCAUAGAAGAAUAAACUUUAGCUUAACAUAAAGCUGAUAUAUAAGAUA